rnacentral:rRNA from 1 species
AUUGAACGCUGGCGGCAGGCUUAACACAUGCAAGUCGAGCGAGCGGCGGACGGGUGAGUAAUGUCUGGGAAACUGCCUGAUGGAGGGGGAUAACUACUGGAAACGGUAGCUAAUACCGCAUACCAUCAGAUGUGCCCAGAUGGGAUUAGCUAGUAGGUGGGGUAAUGGCUCACCUAGUCGACGAUCCCUAGCUGGUCUGAGAGGGUGAUCGGCCACACUGGAACUGAGACACGGUCCAUACUCCUACGGGAGGCAGCAGUAGGGAAUCUUCCGUAAUGGGCGCAAGCCUGAUGCAGCCAUGCCGCGUGUGUGAAGAAGGCCUUCGGGUUGUAAAGCACUUUCAGCGAGGAGGCGUUACUCGCAGAAGAAGCACCGGCUAACUACGUGCCAGCAGCCGCGGUAAUAC